AAAAUAAUUUUAUGGUUGGAGGUCACGACAACAUGAGGAACUGUAUUAAAGGGUCUCAGUGUUAGGAAGGUUGAGAACUGCUGAUCUAUUGGCUGGCUAUAUAGUCUGUCCUUUGUGCCCGAUACUUUCUCUUGGUCUCCUUCCACUUUCAGUACUUCAGAGGUUGAACUGAUCAAGGUGAUUUUAUUAGAGUCCAGAGAUCAUGACUAUCCCCGGGAGCCUGAUAUCAAGUGAAACCAGAGCCUGCCUGGCAGAGACUGUGAGCUGGGUGUGGUCUGGGACCAGGGAAGCUGUUGCUGAGUCAGGAGAGGACAUGGGUGGUGUGGAUUGGGUGAGCAAGAGGGGAGGAAGCAUGACUUCUUUUUCUUCUACCCUUAAAUUAUCUGCAGAGCCCUCAGGCACAGCCCAGCUGAUAUGUGGCCCUCUAUCCUUCCAUGCAGGAUAAAGACCUGAACUGGGAGCAUCAGGGAGGGGACCUGAGGAGGCACAGGAAGCAUGAAUAGCACCCUGACUUUAGUCUGCACUCUCUGCCUGUUUCUUGUCAGAUCCUUCUGUUGACUGUCCUUAGCCUGUUCUGCCUUCACAGAUCACAGAAGCCGUCUUCACUCAGCUCUCGGCUUUUCUUCCAGAUCGUCUGCUGAGACAACACAUUUCUUCUCUACACUUCAGAUGCUGUACUUUUCCUUUUUUUUUUUUUCUGUCCCCUGACCCUGGAGAUCCACUGACUUUUUAUUCUUGGAUAUGUAGUUUAUGCUCAUGAGUACAUGGGUCCCCACGCCUGUGCCUGUGCACGCAGAAGCCAGCAUAGCACAUUCACUGUCUUCCUCUGUUGAAUUCUGAGUUACUGCCUUGAGACAUGGUAUUUCAUUAAACCCGAACCUUGCAGUGUGGGCUGGGUAGCCAGAGUGGUCUAGAGAUCUACCUCUUCCCUGAUGCCUGGUCCACAAAUGCUGGGAUUACAGACAUGCAUGUAGCUCUGUCUGGGUAUUUUUAUGUAGGUUCUAAGGUCCUCUUGACUGCAGAGCAAGCGGUCCGAGUAUUGAACCAUCAUCACCCUGGCUCCUCCAUUUUCUUUCUGAUAAAGGUGAACCUGGUGUAAGUCUGUGAACACUUGGGGAAGUCUUGGUCCUGUUCUGUCUAGUCAUCAGAGUGGAGGGUGGCUUAUAAGACACAUGUCCAUCCGCUGAGACCUCUUCCUGUCCCCCCUUUUCUAGGAGAGUCCUCAGGCUGCUCUGUACCUAAGUUCCCCAUUUCUACCUAUGCAUAUAUGCUCCAUAUCCCAGUUGCAUCCCAGCUCCCCGCCCACUGUUCCUGGCUGCCUAUACACAAUGCCACCGCAGGGGGACACUCAGUGAGAAGCUGCUAUGCUAGUCCUGCCCCAGGCUGCCCUUCCUGUCUUCUCUUGCUUCUAUCUUCAAAGGCAUCUUUCAGAAGACAGGAACCACCACUUCUAGACCCGUCAUCUCACUGACCCUGUAACAAUGUUGUUCACUUUGUGUGUGCCCAUAUCUUCAGGCAAGCGCGUGGCCAUCUGUAGACAACCUGAGAAAGUUCUUUCUCUUGCUGUCACAUUGUUCUUGGGGAUUGAACUCACUCAGGCUGUCAGGGUUGUUGGCAAACACCUUUACCCACUGAGCCAUCUCUUAUGCCCUACAUUGCAUCGAAAGAACCUCUGGUCCAUUUCUUGCACUGUAAGAAUUUCUGGUUCUUUUCUUCCAAUCUAUGACCAUCACCGAGUCAAGCUUCAGCCAUUUUCAGAAAAGGAGACAGAGCGGACUGAGCUGCAGCUGAAGGGCUCUGGCCCAGGAACACCCUCUGACCUGUUCUAGCCAGAUGCAUCCUUUUCUCUGAACAUGCUCAUUGGCAAAGUCAUCUGAGAGGAAUGUAUGAAUCUCACUCUCUCAGAGCUUUGAAAACUGUUCCUUUGGAUCAUCUUUGGGGUAUGGCUUUCCAGAGGCUGGUUCCAAAUGUACCAGGCACGCAUCCAUGUUCACAGGGUCUUUUACAAGAACCUGGGUAUGGAGAUGAUAGCUAAUUUUCACUGUCAACUUGACCACACCUAGAAUCAACUAAAUCCCAAGCUUCUGCGUGCACCUGUGAGAAGUUUUCUUAAGCAGAUUAUAUGAAGCAAGAAGAUCCACCCUAAAUCUUGUCCAUACCUUCUGGUGUCAACAAACAUAAAAGGACACAGAAGAAGGGGACCUUGGUUUCUGUAUGCUUGCCUUCACUCCCACUGGUAACUUCAUCUAUCCUGUUGCAGAGGCUGGUAUUAAAGCCAACUUCUUCAGGACUCCAGCACCAGCAGUAUCAUGAGAAGUGGUCUGUCUUGGGUGAAAGAUCUUUACAAACAACCACAGCGCGAUGUGUGAAGCAUCCUUCGGGAAGAAGGUACCCAGCCAAGAAAGGAUGCAAAUUUUACAAUCAAGCGAUUCUCUUUGUUUCCUGCCUGACUCACUAGGAGGAAUUUUGAACAGUCCAGUGGGAGGUUAGAAAUCAAGGGCUCUGUCUCAUUUUGUCUCGGAGCCUCGCAAACAUUAUAAACAUUUUCUUCUAUUUUUUUUUCUUUUAAAGCAGCACAGCCUCCAAAGGAAGAUGUUUACCUGGAAGAUUCCUUGGCUUGAUGGGCUAAUGGCAGGUUGCUGUUUGCUAUCUAGGGACAAGAUGGGGACACUGGCCCUCAGUCUGGAGGGUUGCAAAUGCCCAGACUUUCUGUUUUAAUGAAGAGCUUUAAUAGGCUAACCCUUGGCACUUUCUAAUGCUGGGCAGUAGCUGAAGGUGCAGAAUCACAAGCUGGAGAGAAAAGCCACAGGACAAAUUGAUGGGAACACGUCUCUCUCGGCCCAGGUCAGGCGGUCAUUAAAAAUGAAGGCGUGGUAGCCUAGGUAAUGACACGCACAGAUCUGUCCCAUGGAUGCAUGGAGCCAUCAGUUUACAAAACACAUGGACAGUACUACCUUAAAAAGCCACCAGGAAAGAAUAUGUUCGAGGAGACCUUGGAACUGUAUAGGGCAAAGUGGGGUUACCCAAGUUACACCCAGCACAGUAGGGCGCUGUGCUCAUGAGAGGCUUUGAUUUCUUCUCAUUGACUUUAUAUUUUCAAAAUUCUAAGACAGCUUGGUAUAAGAACAACAGCCGACACCAUUAACCACAAAACCAACGCCCACCAGCUCCAGCAACAGCUGGAUCAUAAGAAUGACACUCUUUCCAAGCUCCCAGAACACUUUCAAAGUUUCCCUUGAUGCCUCUGAUAGAAGCAGGGAUUUGGAAAGGCAAAUAUGACAGGCGGCGCUUGAGAGCAGUGGAGGAGACAAGAAGAUUGUGAGGAUGGUAGAGAUGCAAACGAAGCCCUUUCUGUAUUCUACCCAGGACUAAACAACUGAACAUUUCCAUGUCACAGCUGCUGUUGUGUUUUCCUUGGAAGCUAUCCAGCUGGAGAGAUGGCUCAGUGGUCAAGAGCACUGGCUGCUCUUCUGGAACACCUGAGUUCAACUGCAUCCACAUGGCAGCUCAAAACAUCAGUAAUUCCAG